AAAACAUCCUUGAACCCACAAAAAGCUCAUACUUUUCUAACCACCACACCACACAAAUCAUUAUUCCACUUUCCAUUUUCGAUUUCAUCCGUCGGAUUUUGUAAAAAUCCAACCUUUUCAUCAACCACUUCAUCUUCUUCAUCCACUUUUCAAGAGCAUUUAAAUGGAGUUCAACGGAUUCAUUCUUCGAGGAGGGAAACCGGGGGAGAGACAAAGAAAAAUUAUUGAAUGGUUGCAAAAUCGGGAAAUCCUCCCGACAAGGUAUGUUGACGAAAACUGUC
rnacentral:lncRNA from 1 species